rnacentral:rRNA from 1 species
UACGUAGGGAGCGAGCGUUAUCCGGAAUUAUUGGGUGUAAAGGGUGCGUAGACGGGAAGACAAGUUGGUUGUGAAAUCCCUCGGCUUAACUGAGGAACUGCAACCAAAACUAUCAUUCUUGAGUACUGGAGAGGAAAGUGGAAUUCCUAGUGUAGCGGUGAAAUGCGUAGAUAUUAGGAGGAACACCAGUGGCGAAGGCGACUUUCUGGACAGAAACUGACGUUGAGGCUCGAAAGCGUGGGGAGCAAACAGG